rnacentral:lncRNA from 1 species
GUAUUUUUAGUAGAGACGGGGUUUCACCAUGUUGCCCAGGCUGGUCUUGAACCCCUGACCUCAAGUGAUCUGCCUGCCUCGGCCUCCCAAAGUGCUGGGAUUACAGGCGUGAGCCACGGCACCCAGCCAGCAAUGGUCUCUUGAUGGCUACUUUUUAAAAACACCAGAGACAUUUUCUUUUAAGCUACUUCUUAUACUGUCUCAAAGUUUAGAGUCUGGGUGGAGCCUUUGCGGAGCUUAUCAUUCAAGAUGAAGUUUUACUGAACUUGUCAGAAAAUAAAUGAUUGAGAAGGUUCUGGAUUGAGUCUCUCUAUUAAGGGAGACAGAAACAGCAAGAACAGGAUUUUCUAGAAAUACACUGUUGGGGAAUUGAAUGGGAAGCUUGCAGAAGAGAGCCUGAUUUGGGGCAUGUAGUAAUUUGCCUUUGGAGGGAAAAUUCAU